rnacentral:rRNA from 1 species
UACGGAGGGUGCAAGCGUUAUCCGGAUUCACUGGGUUUAAAGGGUGCGUAGGCGGGUUGGUAAGUCCGUGGUGAAAUCCCCAAGCUUAACUUGGGAACUGCAUCCGAUACUGGAUGGCUUGAAUCCGGGAGAGGGAUGCAGAAUUCCUGGUGUAGCGGUGAAAUGCGCAGAUAUCAGGAGGAACACCAAUUGCGAAGGCAGCUAACUAAGUCAUAACUGACGCUGAUGCACGAAAGCGUGGGGAGCAAACAGG